GAUGAAGAACGUAGCGAAAUGCGAUACGUAAUGUGAAUUGCAGAAUUCAGUGAAUCAUCGAAUCUUUGAACGCAUAUUGCGCUCUUUGGUAUUCCGAAGAGCAUGCUUGUUUGAGUAUCAGUAAACACCUCAAAAGACUUUCAUUUUUGAAAUGAUUUUGGACUUGAGCAAUCCCAACACCAGUCUUCACGGAUCGGCGGAGGGUUGCUUGAAAUGCAGGUGCAGCUGGACAUUCUCCUGAGCUAAAAGCAUAUCUAUUUAGUCCCGUCAAACGGAUUAUUACUUUUGCUGCAGCUAACAUAAAGGGAGUUUGACCAUUUUGGCUGACUGAUGCAGGAUUUCACAAGGGUCGGUAAAACGAUUUUUGUAAAACUCAAUCUCAAAUCAAGUAAGACUACCCGCUGAACUUAAGCAUAUCAAAAGCGGAGGA
rnacentral:misc_RNA from 1 species